UUGUCGUCAGCUCGUGUCGUGAGAUGUUGGGUUAAGUCCCGCAACGAGCGCAACCCUUAUUGCUAGUUACCAUCAUUAAGUUGGGGACUCUAGCGAGACUGCCAGUGAUAAACUGGAGGAAGGUGGGGAUGACGUCAAAUCAUCAUGCCCCUUAUGACCUGGGCUACAAACGUGAUACAAUGGCCGAAACAAAGGACAGCGAAGGAGCGAUCUGGAGCGAAACCCAAAAAAGCAGUCUCAGUUCGGAUUGAAGUCUGCAACUCGACUUCAUGAAGUCGGAAUCGCUAGUAAUCGCGGAUCAGAACGCCGCGGUGAAUACGUUCUCGGGGUUU
rnacentral:rRNA from 1 species